UUAAUCACAGAGGACGUGGCUAAAGAAAAGGAUGUUCAAGAGGAAUGGUGUAAACGAAUUAUUGAUUCUGAGUUUGCUCCCUUCUCAAGGAUGAAAUACGAUUAUAUGCCAUCACUUCACAACAAUACUCAGUUUUCUAAUGUGGACUAUGGAACCAAAUCGUUCAGAGAAAAGCCUGACGAGUUAUUAGUUUCAUCUCAGUUUAAAACUGUGUUCAAAUCUAUUCCGGAGUUCGACAACAUUGGAGAGGCUUACAGCUGAAUUACAAAAUUAUAAAAUAGAUGCUCUCAAAUUAUGUUUCUGCUGAGCUGAUUUUCUUUAGUUUAUUUCGCUGAAAAAUUAUCAGACUUAGUUUGUAAAUAACUAAAAUACAGUAAUUUGAAAGAUAUUUUACAUAAAAAAGCUCCAUUGUCAAAUUGUCUGAGAAGGACUUGAUUGAUGAUUCCAAAUUUGUAACAAUUUUAACAGUGGAUACUAAAGCUAUAUCAAGAAGAGAUUUUUAUGUACUGAUACAAUU